rnacentral:misc_RNA from 1 species
AACGCACAUUGCGCCCCUUGGUAUUCCAUUGGGCAUGCCUGUUCGAGCGUCAUUUACACCCUCAAGCUACGCUUGGUGUUGGGCGUCUGUCCCCGCUUCCCGCGAGGACUCGCCCCAAAUCCAUUGGCAGCGGCAUCGCCGGCUUCUCGCGCAGCACAUUGCGCUCCAGAAGGCUCCCGGCGGGCUCGCGUCCAGCAAGAACCCCCCCAGUUUGACCUCGAAUCAGGUAGGGAUACCCGCUGAACUUAA